rnacentral:rRNA from 1 species
CCUACGGGGGGCAGCAGUGGGGAAUAUUGGACAAUGGGGGGAACCCUGAUCCAGCCAUGCCGCGUGUGUGAAGAAGGCCCUCGGGUUGUAAAGCACUUUCAGUGAGGAAGAACGCCUGGUGGUUAAUACCCAUCAGGAAAGACAUCACUCACAGAAGAAGCACCGGCUAACUCCGUGCCAGCAGCCGCGGUAAUACGGAGGGUGCGAGCGUUAAUCGGAAUUACUGGGCGUAAAGCGCGCGUAGGUGGCUUGAUAAGCCGGUUGUGAAAGCCCCGGGCUCAACCUGGGAACGGCAUCCGGAACUGUCAAGCUAGAGUGCAGGAGAGGAAGGUAGAAUUCCCGGUGUAGCGGUGAAAUGCGUAGAGAUCGGGAGGAAUACCAGUGGCGAAGGCGGCCUUCUGGACUGACACUGACACUGAUGUGCGAAAGCGUGGGUAGCAAACAGGAUUAGAUACCCCAGUAGUC